GCGGGCGGUGGGGACGGCGCUCACACCGCGAGUCACUUGUCAGCCCUUGUCUGAGGCGGAGGCAGCGCCGCGCCGCGCCGGACCCGAGCAUAUUUCAUUUUCUGUCAUUGGACUUUGAGCCAUUAGAACCAUGAGCAACUACAGUGUGUCACUGGUUGGCCCAGCUCCUUGGGGUUUCCGGCUGCAAGGCGGCAAGGAUUUCAACAUGCCUCUGACAAUCUCUAGUCUAAAAGAUGGCGGCAAGGCAGCCCAGGCAAAUGUAAGAAUAGGCGAUGUGGUUCUCAGCAUUGAUGGAAUAAGUGCACAAGGAAUGACUCAUCUUGAAGCCCAGAAUAAGAUUAAGGGUUGUACAGGCUCUUUGAAUAUGACUCUGCAAAGAGCAUCUGCUACACCCAAGCCUGAGCCGGUUCCUGUUCAAAAGCCCACAGUCACCAGCGUGUGUUCCGAGACUUCUCAGGAGCUAGCAGAGGGACAGAGAAGAGGAUCCCAGGGUGACAGUAAACAGCAAAAUGGCAUGAUGUUUGUGUAACAUCUUCACUGAAAAUCAUUGUUUUGAAUUUUAUUUCAUUUUCUUUUCUUUUUCUUCUUUUUCCCCUCUUUGUCUAUUGUUCAUCUUCCGGGGAACAUCAAUGUCUUCUCUACUCUAUCACAUCUUUUUUUUGUGUGUAUUAUUCUUCCCUCAGUAACCCUGGCACUGUGUAAGUACUUAACCAAUGAUUCACUUUGUAAUUGUCUCUGUAACUUUCCUUCUUGCUUUCAAUUUAAUACUACCAGCAAAUUUUGUUAGGAUUUUCUCAUUAUA
rnacentral:sRNA from 1 species